ACGUAGGUGCCAAGCGUUAUCCGGAAUUACUGGGCGUAAAGCGCACGCAGGCGGCUGAUUAAGUCUGACGUGAAAUCUCCUGGCUUAACUGGGAGGGGUCGUUGGAAACUGGUCGGCUUGAGGCAGUGAGAGGGGUGUGGAAUUCCCGGUGUAGUGGUGGAAUGCGUAGAUAUCGGGAGGAACACCAGUGGCGAAAGCGGCGACCUGCUCGGCCUUGCCUGACGCUCAGACGCGAAAGCAUGGGGAGCGAACGG
rnacentral:rRNA from 1 species